UGCAGUCGACGAAGUAGCAAUACUUUAGUGGCGAACGGGUGAGUAACACGUAUCUAACCUACCAUUUAGUGGGGAAUAACUGUUGGAAACGACAGCUAAUACCGCAUAUGUUAUUUAUUUGCAAUGAUAAAUAAUGAAAGGAGCAUUUGUUUCGCUAAUUGAUGAGGAUGCGGCGCAUUAACUAGUUGGUAAGGUAAUGGCUUACCAAGGUAACGAUGCGUAGCCGAUCUGAGAGGAUGAACGGCCACAUUGGGACUGAGACACGGCCCAAACUUCUACGGAAGGCAGCAGUAGGGAAUUUUUCACAAUGGGCGAAAGCCUGAUGGAGCAAUGCCGCGUGACUGAUGAAGAUCUUCGGAUUGUAAAGGUCUGUUGUAAGGGAAGAAGUGCUAGAAUAGGAAAUGAUUUUAGUAUCGACCAUACCUUACCAGAAAGCCACGGCUAACUAUGUGCCAGCAGCCGCGGUAAUACAUAGGUGGCAAGCGUUAUCCGGAUUUAUUGGGCGUAAAGCGUGCGUAGACGGUUUUGCAAGUCUGAGGUUAAAUUUAGGGGCUCAACCCCUAACCGCCUUGGAAACUACAUUACUAGAGUAUAGGAGAGGUUAGUGGAAUUUCAUGUGUAGCGGUGGAAUGCGUAGAUAUAUGAAGGAACACCAGUGGCGAAGGCGGCUAACUGGCCUAUUACUGACGUUGUGGCACGAAAGCGUGGGGAGCAAAUAGGAUUAGAUACCCUAGUAGUCCACGCCGUAAACGAUGAGUACUAAGUGUUGCCAUGAGGCAGUGCUGUAGYUAACGCAUUAAGUACUCCGCCUSASUAGUAUGCUCGCAGAGUGAACU
rnacentral:rRNA from 1 species